rnacentral:pre_miRNA from 1 species
UGUAGAAUUGCUGGGUCAUAGGGUAAUUCUAUUUAAUUUUUUUAAGGCACUACUAAACUGUUUUCCACAAAGGCUGUACCAUUUUACAUUUCCAUGAGUAAU